UACGUAGGGGGCAAGCGUUGUCCGGAUUUAUUGGGCGUAAAGAGCGUGUAGGCGGCCAGGUAGGUCAGCUGUGAAAACUCGAGGCUUAACCUCGAGACGCCGGCUGAAACCCUCUGGCUAGAGUCCGGAAGAGGAGAGCGGAAUUCCUGGUGUAGCGGUGAAAUGCGCAGAUAUCAGGAAGAACACCCGUGGCGAAGGCGGCUCUCUGGGCCGAUACUGACGCUGAGGAGCGAAAGCGUGGGGAGCGAACAGG
rnacentral:rRNA from 1 species